GGCGGCGUGCCUAUACUGCAAGUCGAGCGACGGCCUGAAGAGCUUGCUCUCAAGAAUGUUAGCGGCGGAACGGGUGAGUAACACGUGGGUAACCUGCCCAUAAGACUGGGAUAACUCCGGGAAACCGGGGCUAAUACCGGAUAACAUUUUGAACUGCAUGGUUCGAAAUUGAAAGGCGGCUUCGGCUGUCACUUAUGGAUGGACCCGCGUCGCAUUAGCUAGUUGGUGAGGUAACGGCUCACCAAGGCAACGAUGCGUAGCCGACCUGAGAGGGUGAUCGGCCACACUGGGACUGAGACACGGCCCA
rnacentral:rRNA from 1 species